UUUCUAACAAGGAAGAAUCUGAGAGUGCGGAAAGAAAACAGAAUGUCUUAAACUUUGCAUCUGGAGCAGAUAUGGGUGACAUCAUAAACCUUCAGAAAGUCCUUGUAUACAGAAAAAACAAUGAGGGGGAGAAGACUGCUGACCUCUCACUCACAUCAAGAAUGAUCAAUCAUAAAAUCAAAGACUAACUGUUAAAAUCCCUUUUAAGUGUUGGAUUUGUGAUUUGAUAUUGUUGUAAAUAGUCCUCACGGCAAAACCUAGGGAAGGAGAAAGAGAAGAAGAAAAUAUUAUUCCUUUUCAAGUUGUCCCACA